CCAAUUUUCAUAUGCCAGGAACAAGUAAAGAGAGGUGAAUCAAAAGAGAACACAAAGCUACUAUGUAACUGCUGUAUUUUAUAUUGUGUCAUUUGUGAAGUUUGUCUAUGACUGAUUGUGUGAUGAAGUUUUACUAAUGAUUCUGCUGGACUAAUUGUUGUUACUACUUUGCAGGCCCAGAGAGAUGCAGUCCAACUACUGUAUAAAUAGCAGUUGUACAGUUGUACAUGGACACCUUUGCUGAAGUGGCUAAGGACCAGAGCUAGCUAUUUCCUUCUCAAAACCUAUAUAUAUCACAUAACGUAAUUUUAGAAGAUUCCCUAUUUGGAGCCUGCAUAGUUUGUGAAGAAAAUGUGGAUUUAAGACACGUAUGCUUGAUUAAGGUGUCUAAGAGAACACGAUUG
rnacentral:lncRNA from 1 species